rnacentral:rRNA from 1 species
AGCAUUAUACCGUGAAACUGCGAAUGGCUCAUUAAAUCAGUUAUCGUUUAUUUGAUAGUACCUUACUACUUGGAUAACCGUGGUAAUUCUAGAGCUAAUACAUGCUGAAAACCUCAACUUCGGAAGGGGUGUAUUUAUUAGAUAAAAAACCAAUGCCCCUUGGGGCUUCUUGGUGAUUCAUGAUAACUUCUCAGAUCGCAUGGCCUUGCGCCGGCGACGGUUCAUUCAAAUUUCUGCCCUAUCAACUUUCGAUGGUAAGGUAUUGGCUUACCAUGGUUUCAACGGGUAACGGGGAAUUAGGGUUCGAUUCCGGAGAGGGAGCCUGAGAAACGGCUACCACAUCCAAGGAAGGCAGCAGGCGCGCAAAUUACCCAAUCCCGACACGGGGAGGUAGUGACAAUAAAUACUGAUACAGGGCUCUUUUGGGUCUUGUAAUUGGAAUGCCAGCAGCCGCGGUAAUUCCAGCUCCAAUAGCGUAUAUUAAAGUUGUUGCAGUUAAAAAGCUCGUAGUUGAACCUUGGGCCUGGCUGGCAGGUCCGCCUCACCGCGUGUACUUGACCGGCCGGGCCUUCUCUUCUGGAGAACCUCAUGCCCUUUACUGGGCGUGUUGGGGACCAGGACUUUUACUUUGAAAAAAUUAGAGUGUUCAAAGCAGGCCUUUGCUCGAAUAUGUUAGCAUGGAAUAAUAGAAUAGGACGUGCGAUCCUAUUUUGUUGGUUUCUAGGAUCGCCGUAAUGAUUAAUAGGGACAGUCGGGGGCAUCAGUAUUCAAUUGUCAGAGGUGAAAUUCUUGGAUUUAUUGAAGACUAACUACUGCGAAAGCAUUUGCCAAGGAUGUUUUCAUUAAUCAGUGAACGAAAGUUAGGGGAUCGAAGACGAUCAGAUACCGUCGUAGUCUUAACCAUAAACUAUGCCGACUAGGGAUCGGGCGGUGUUUCAAUAUUGACUCGCUCGGCACCUUACGAGAAAUCAAAGUGUUGGGUU